rnacentral:misc_RNA from 1 species
UGGUGCUGGAGAUCCUAGAUUGGCAAAUUUUAGAUUCCGUCAGGUGCUCAUUGAUGAGUCCACUCAAGCAGCUGAACCUGAAUGCCUUAUUCCUUUGGUUCUUGGAGCAAAGCAGAUUGUCCUUGUUGGUGAUCACUGCCAGCUUGGACCUGUCAUUAUGUGCAAGAAAGCUGCACGGGCUGGGCUUGCUCAAUCCCUGUUUGAACGUCUUGUACUGCUGGGUGUGAAGCCAAUCAGGCUGCAGGUACAAUACCG